rnacentral:lncRNA from 1 species
UCUUUUCAAAACGAUUAUAAAAAUUAUUUAAAAUCUGAAAGUCUUCAAAAAACCAGAAUCUUACGAUGGCUAACCAAUUUCAAGAUAUUAGAUUUUUGUUACGUCGGAUCUCUCAGUUGAAUCAUAAGCCAAAGUUUUAGAAAUAAGGAUUCUUAAUGUAUAUAUAAAAAUUUUUCACAUACAUAUGUACGCAUUCAGAAGUAAAAGCUUCACCUUACCCAAAUAUUUAAAAAAUUAAUAUGCAAGAAACGUUUGACCAAAAGUGAAUAUAUUUGCUGGGUGUUGAUUGCAAAAGGAUUCUUCUGCCAACCGAAUUCACACGCAUAUUCUUUUGGAUACUUAAGAAGUGGUUUGUUAAAGAACACAUACCGUAAAAUUUAAUGAGCGCAACAUUCUCGACAAUAUUCUUAUUUUGGGUGGGAGUGACUGAUUUGACUCAAGGCAGCGCAUAAGAGCAGGUAUUAGAGUUGGGCUCCGGUAUACCGCACCUACAAUAUAGACUUGUGGUUUUUAAAGGGAAUACAUUCUUCGACAGCCGCUGCUUGAUCUAUACUCAGUUUGGUUUGCCAUACCAUAACGAACAGAGGUUUGCAAAUCGUGCAAAUUAAUUAACAAAAUAGUGUUCUGGAGCGGAGUAUCGAAAAAGACCCGAAUAAGAUCCCCGCCGUCGGGAGUAGAAAGAAAUGAUAACGUUAUAGAUUAAUUAUUAAUAUUUUUUUUUGGCCUUUUCUAUGGUUUCAACAAUACUGGGCUACCCAUACAGCUAAUGAAACAAUCAAUCACAGAAAAAAAAAAUAAAUUAAAUUAAUUAUGAAUCCGAAGGAUCUCAAGCACAGAAGCCCAUCAUCCUUCGUGCUAAAAUCAUUAAAAAUGAUGCAUCAAUGAAAUUUCUCUUACGGACUAUUGAAGAGAAGUUGUUUCAAAUGAAUACGAAAACAAUUUCAAUUGAAUGUCUUUUAAUAAAAAGGAAUGCUGGGCUGCUACACUUUUAGAUAAACCGGGAAUCGUUAACAAUAUUUUACCAGGUGAGCGAAUUUGGAGAAUCUUAACAUUUAUCUUCAGGAGCAGCAAGGCAGAAGCUUUAAGGCGAAUUUGCUAUGAAAAGCGUAUUAACUGUAUUACAAACAGGCCGUGGUAAUUGGAGUUCGGAGGUAAGGAUUCCUCAUUAUCCAUAUGCCUACCUUGCUAUGGGCAAUGUUAGGGUUUGAUGGUCUUUCCAAGAUACUGAUGUCAAGGUAAUUGAUGUAAUGAGGAGGAAUGAUGAAAGAAUGAAGCAUCGAACUGCUACGACUGUAAAGCCUAAUUGAUGGGAGAUUCCACAUCACAACGACCUCAAUCUGGCUUAAGAAAAAUCGAUAACUUCACCUAAAAUUUAUGCGAUCACUAUGAAAAGUAUCAUUGUAAUCAUGUAACAAUAUUUGUUGUUUUUCUUAACAAACCAAAAACAAAUUUUAUGUGGGAACCAGCCGUCAAAUGCGUGGCUUGUAAGGUGAGCGCCAACCAAAUGUUACACGCUUAAUCACAUACUCGCAUGUCGGCAAGCAGAGCAAAACCAAAAUGAGGCACAGAAAUGCUUAUGUUAAGAAGAAAUCCGAAGGGAGUUGCACUCAGUAUGUUCACAGCCAAGAAACAGCAUGGAAGUUUAAAAUCACUUGUUGUGGAGUAAACAUUUGUAUAUUAUGCACGAGUAUGUAGCUAAGCUAGGAAGUUAUGUAGAUGCUCUGGUGUAGGCAGUAUGAGUUGACUUGUUUGUUUGAUAAUAAAGCAGCAAUAAUAGCAAGAACAAUCACCAAUACUCGCACUCGUUUGUAGAUGACACCCAAACAACGGUUUGCCUUCAGCGCACAUACUCGAAUAUUUUCAACUUGUUACAGUGUUGAACUCUCGAGGCAUUUGUUUCUGCUAUUGGGUGGCCAGGCGUAACUCCAUGUCAUUGUCGUCAAAACACACAACGAAGGACGAAGUUCGAAAGUUGCUUUUGUAAACAACAAAUAAACGAUGACUGGAGUGAGCCAGUCAUUUUCAAUGUGAGUUUCCGCCUGCAGUGCACAGUGUUGUAGUUUCCUAAGUCGAAAACAGAGUGUAAACUCAGGUGUUGAGAAGUUUUUUUUUAACUUAUCGUAGGUAAUAUAAAAAAGGAUAAAAAAGAUUUUUGUGAACUCAAAAUAAAAGCGUACAAUUAUCAU